rnacentral:tRNA from 1 species
GCCUUCGUGGUGUAAUGGUCAGUACACUCGGCGCGUAUUCGAGAGAUCUGAGGUUCGAGUCCCGGCGAGGGCA